rnacentral:misc_RNA from 1 species
GAAAUGCGAUAAGUAAUGCGAAUUGCAGAAUUCAGUGAAUCAUCGAAUCUUUGAACGCACAUUGCGCCCGCCAGAACUCUGGCGGGCAUGCCUGUUCGAGCGUCAUCAACACCACUCAAGCCCCCGGGCUUGGCGUUGGGGAUCGGCAGCCGGCGCGGCGCCCCUCCGGGGGCACCGCCCGCCGUCCCCCAAAUACAUCGGCGGCCGUCCGCGGGCUUCCAAUGCGUAGUAGCAACACCUCGCACCGGAAGCCCCGAGCGUCCACGCCGUAAAACCCCCGACCUUUACCGGUUGACCUCGAAUCAGGUAGGACUACCCGCUGAACUUAA